rnacentral:lncRNA from 1 species
CGGUAAUCGGAACUUAUCCAGGGCUUAUGCAACACGUGUGCAGAAAAGCCCUAGGCCCGGGCACUGCUGUCUCAGACCAGGGUGGUGCUUUUAAGCAAACCUAGUGGGCUUUGGGCCUGCACAGAACCUGGAUCCUGCCUAAUACUGCGGCAAGCAAGGGAACAUCAUCUUACACAAGAGGCGGUAAAACAAGAAAGAAAACCGAGGAAGGCACUGAGUCUAACUAUUACUGCCAGGAAGUCUCCUUACAAAUGACAGAAGAUUAUUUCGGCGACAAGAUAAAGUGUGUUCAAGGAGCGAGCCCUCUGAAGAGCAGCAGGCUGUAAGCGCCCCUCCACGCCUCCCU